GGGAAUGUAGCUCAGUGAUAGAGUGCUUGCCUUGAACGCAUGAGGCCCUGGGUUUGAUCCUCAGCACCA
rfam:Ictidomys tridecemlineatus contig074491, whole genome shotgun sequence.